rnacentral:lncRNA from 1 species
CCCUUUUCUGAAGUUGCCCUCCAGCCGAGAGAAUCCUUAAAAGGCCCUAUUUUCCUCUGCCACUCUCAAUCCUCGCAGGUACUAAUCUAAUCAUGUUAUUAUUAUUAUUAUUUUUUUGCAACCCCCGUUUGAUUCCCAAGAAAAUCCAUCCCCCAUUCGAUUUCCGGGAAAAUUCAUCCUCGUUUGAUUUCCGAGAAAAUCCAAGCAAAAACCCUGCAACCCGUUUGAUUCCCAAGAAAUCCAUCCCCCAUUUGAUUU